AUGAAGACAUCCAUGGGAGCUUUAAUCAUGUUCUCAUGCCUGCAGCUGAACUGGUUCAGCCAGGGAGAGAAUGUGGAGCAGCAUCCUUCUACCCUGAGUGUCCAGGAGGGAAGCAGCUCUGUUAUCAACUGCAGUUAUUCAGACAAUAACUCAGAGUACUUCCCCUGGUAUAAAGAAGAACCUGGAAAAGAUCCCCAGAUCCUUGUAUACAUUCUUUCAAGCAUGGCCACAAAAGAAGAACAAAGACUCACUGUUUUAUUGAGUAAGACGGCCAAACGUUUCUCCCUGCACGUCAGAGACACCCAGCCUGAAGACUCAGCUGUGUACUUCUGCGCAGCAAGCACACAUUGCUUCCCAGGCACCUGCUGCCUCCACUCAAACGUGGGACUGGGGCAGCCCCUGUCCUCUGACACAGACCUUCAAGGAUAG